rfam:Camelus ferus unplaced genomic scaffold scaffold1389, whole genome shotgun sequence.
GGGGGUACAGCUCAGUGGUAGAGUGCAUGCUUAGCAUGCACAAGGUCCUGGGUUCAAUCCCCAGUGCCUCCA